UGGGGAAUUUUGACAUGGCAAGGCGAACCGCAAAUGCCGCGUGUGUGAAGAAGGCCUUCGGGUUGUAAAGCACUUUUGUCCGGAAAGAAAUCCUUGGCUCUAAUACAGUCGGGGGAUGACGGUACCGGAAGAAUAAGCACCGGCUAACUACGUGCCAGCAGCCGCGGUAAUACGUAGGGUGCAAGCGUUAAUCGGAAUUACUGGGCGUAAAGCGUGCGCAGGCGGUUUGCUAAGACCGAUGUGAAAUCCCCGGGCUCAACCUGGGAACUGCAUUGGUGACUGGCAGGCUAGAGUAUGGCAGAGGGGGGUAGAAUUCCACGUGUAGCAGUGAAAUGCGUAGAGAUGUGGAGGAAUACCGAUGGCGAAGGCAGCCCCCUGGGCCAAUACUGACGCUCAUGCACGAAAGCGUGGGGAGCAAACAGGAUUAGAUACCCUGGUAGUCCACGCCCUAAACGAUGUCAACUAGUUGUUGGGGAUUCAUUUCCUUAGUAACGUAGCUAACGCGUGAAGUUGACCGCCUGGGGAGUACGGUCGCAAGAUUAAAACUCAAAUGAAUUGACGGGGUCAUAGCUGUUU
rnacentral:rRNA from 1 species